GGGCCGCUAGCUCAGCUGGUAGAGCGCUUCCAUGGCAUGGAAGAGGUCAGGAGUUCGAGUCUCCUGCGGUCCA
rnacentral:tRNA from 1 species